GACGUAGGGUGCAAGCGUUGUCCGGAUUUACUGGGCGUAAAGAGCGCGUAGGCGGUCUUGUAAGUGUGAAGUGAAAUCUCCAGGGCUCAACCCGGAAACUGCUUUGCAUAUUGCGAGACUAGAGGGAUGCAGAGGUUUGUGGAAUUCCUGGUGUAGCGGUGAAAUGCGUUGAUAUCAGGAGGAACACCCAUGGCGAAGGCAGCAAACUGGGCAUCAUCUGACGCUGAGGCGCGAAAGCGUGGGUAGCAAACAGG
rnacentral:rRNA from 1 species